rnacentral:rRNA from 1 species
GACGAACGCUGGCGGCGUGCUUAACACAUGCAAGUGGAGCGACGAACCGGGCUUCGGCCCGGGGCAAAGCCGCGAACGGGUGAGUAACACGUGGGUUACCUGCCCCGAUGACUGGGACGAACCCGGGAAACCCGGGCUAAUACCGGAUGUGCCCUAAGGGGAAGGAAGCUUCGGCCUCGCAUCGGGAUGGGCCCGCGGCCCAUUAGCUUGUUGGUGAGGGUAACGGCCCACCAAGGCUUCGAUGGGUAGCUGGUCUGAGGGG